rnacentral:tRNA from 1 species
GCAGAUGUAGCUCAAUCGGCAGAGCACCGCGCCCGGAGGGGGAUGCAGGUUCAAACCCUGCCGUCUGCG